rnacentral:siRNA from 1 species
UUUGAAAGUUGGAUCGAUGUUGAG